AUUGAACGCUGGCGGCAGGCCUAACACAUGCAAGUCGAGCGGAUGAAGGGAGCUUGCUCCUGGAUUCAGCGGCGGACGGGUGAGUAAUGCCUAGGAAUCUGCCUGGUAGUGGGGGAUAACGUCCGGAAACGGGCGCUAAUACCGCAUACGUCCUGAGGGAGAAAGUGGGGGAUCUUCGGACCUCACGCUAUCAGAUGAGCCUAGGUCGGAUUAGCUAGUUGGUGGGGUAAAGGCCUACCAAGGCGACGAUCCGUAACUGGUCUGAGAGGAUGAUCAGUCACACUGGAACUGAGACACGGUCCAGACUCCUCCGGGAGGCAGCAGUAGGGAAUAUUGGACAAUGGGCGAAAGCCUGAUCCAGCCAUGCCGCGUGUGUGAAGAAGGUCUUCGGAUUGUAAAGCACUUUAAGUUGGGAGGAAGGGCAGUAAGUUAAUACCUUGCUGUUUUGACGUUACCAACAGAAUAAGCACCGGCUAACUUCGUG
rnacentral:rRNA from 1 species